CUCAACCUCUCACAUCUCUCUCCCUCUGGACUCACGAAGAUCAUAUCACCAACAGGAGAGACUCGCAAUGAACCCAGGAUCCCUGCCCUGUGAACUCGACGGCAUGGAGCAAAGCUUCGGCGAGAUUUCUUUCCUUUUUCCCGUCGGGCAAGUCUCGAAUCCCUUGUCCUCGUACCUAGCAUGAUGCUUGGUUGUGUUUUAGGAGCUUGAUCCUUCCAUUUUUACGUAGGUUUUGCCUCGGGAUCGUGUUGGGUGGAGCACACCCAUUUUUCGGUGAACCCGUGCACUCCAAGGGAUUUUAUGGUCACCUCCAACCGAGUUACGAAUUUUGGAAGGGGCAAUUAUUGGUGACGUUUUCUUGUUCGUUAGUUUGCGUGGCUCUUCGGCAGCUAAGUACUGACUUAGAAUUGAGGCAUACAAUUCCGGCAUCCAAGCACUUCUGCAUCGGCAUCUUCGAGUCCUCUCGGUGUAGGACCCAUUCCUUUGUUCAUCAAAUUUUAUAUUAUUUCCUUUAUUGUUCUAGUUAGUUGUAUGCUCUGAACACGUUCCUUAAAUGCAUAUUCUUUAUUCUUUUAUAUUUAUAUACCUUAUCAAUUCCUUGUUUUCAGCAUUUGCACUCAAUAAAUGGCUUUCGUCACCUUCGGGUGUCGGCCAGCACGUACCUAUCCUAGUAUUCGGGGAAAUAUCAGGAUCGGGGCGUGUCAACUUACUAGGUGCCAACAAUUCCUAUGAUGUUUCUGCAUACUGGGCACGCAAGCUUUCCUUUUCUUUUAAAACGACAUAGUUUUGAACCUGGUCUUUAGUUCUCGUUUUUUUUCAAAUAUUUUUAAAAGACAAAAAACAACAAUAAACCUCCUUAUAUCCACACCCAUCCCCGAUUACUGCUCCCAAAA